AUCAACCAUUCACAAUGACUUAAGUAUGAUUUUCAUGUGAACUCUGUCUUUAUCAUUAUAGAAAUCCUGUUGGCAGGACUGGCGUCGCAGGUCGCGGACUGCUUGCUCGAUGGGGGUCCAAUCACGCAACUCAUAUUGUUGCUACAAGGUGGAAGAUUGGUGAAGAUGGACUGAUUGUACAAAAGCAAGAUAAGAACGUUCUGGAAUUCGUGGCUGUUAAAAGUCCUCAAAGCUUGAAGUGGGCCAUGCCUGGGGGCCUGAUGGAAGUUGGCGAAUCAGUGCCGAGCUCGUUACGAAGAAUUCUCACUAAAGAAGUUCUGGCGGCUGUAAAACCCGCUAUCGCGGAGGAAAUAGGAAACUUAGGCGAACGAGUCGACGCAAUCAUUCAAAAUGCUACAGAGGUGCGUCUUGUUACGCGUCGUUUUAGUAGCACGUUAUGCAGUUAGCAAGUCUUGAAAUUUCACUAUGAUUCCUGUUCUUUGUGGGCCUUCGAAAUUUUCACGAUCUUUCCAGAGCCUCAUGUUUUAGGUUGUUUUCCCUAAAUAACCCACCGAAAAAUGCAGACUGCUAUAAAGCAUUUUAUUGUAUGGCUUGUGUUUGUAGCCGAUAUAACGCGAGAUCCGAUUGGCUAAUUCUAGGGUAUUAUUCUCCAGUAAUGCCCAGUGAGAGAAAACGCAGUUUUAUCGAUGACACUUAACCUUUAUCACUUGGACGAGACGCGCUUUUAACUCAAAUGG